CCUACGGGGGGCAGCAGUGGGGGAUAUUGCACAAUGGGGGGAACCCUGAUGUAGCGACACCGCGUGGGUGAAGGAGUGCUUCGGCAUGUAAAGCCCUAUCGGCAGGGAAGAAGCAAGACGGUACCUGACUAAGAAGCCCCGGCUAACUACGUGCCAGCAGCCGCGGUAAUACGUAGGGGGCGAGCGUUAUCCGGAUUCACUGGGUGUAAAGGGAGUGUAGACGGCCAUGCAAGCCAGGGGUGAAAGCCCGGGGCCCAACCCCGGGACUGCCCUUGGAACUGUGCGGCUAGAGUGCGGGAGGGGCAGGCGGAAUUCCUGGUGUAGCGGUGAAAUGCGUAGAUAUCAGGAGGAACACCGGCGGCGAAGGCGGCCUGCUGGACCGCGACUGACGUUGAGGCUCGAAAGCGUGGGGAGCGAACAGGAUUAGAUACCCGUGUAGUC
rnacentral:rRNA from 1 species